CUGGGUGGGGCGGGGAGGAGGGACAGCGACUGGUGCAGUGGUACCGGGCCAGUGCAAGGGCAGAGGCUGGGAGGCAGAUUCCUGCAGAACUCCAGAGGCAGCAGCUGUCCUGAGACACACACAGCUUGAAUGGAGCCAGAUUGUGCCUAGUCAGCAACCCAGCUCUGCUUUUGAAGGUGCCGUCUUCUAUGUGAGGAUCUCGGCUUUCAUUAAAACAAACAACGACCAUAGACCCCCCCUUGGGCAUGGCAGGGUCUACCCGGCUGGCUCGGAGGGAAGAGCCCUUCCUCCUGACACAUCAGCGACACUUAUUGUUUUGAUGCCCCUGUUUGACGAACUGGGAAAGUUCUUAAUGUUUUCUCUGUGUUGGUGCCUCAGUGUCCCCAUGGCAGUUCUUAAGUAUCUGGCAGAGCAAAGGGCCAGUGCACCUAAAUGCCUGACACUCUGUCUCUUUGCAACUGAUGGCCUGGGCCCCUCCUCUGCAAAAGUGCCAGCUGAAGGUGUUGGAGACAAAGGGAUCAGAUGACCUCCUGGCCCGGGAAAGGGGCUGAGCAGAGAGGAGGGGCUAGGGGGGGUUGUUAGUCUGGAGCUGGCUGAGGGCAGACGU
rnacentral:lncRNA from 1 species